rnacentral:rRNA from 1 species
CGCUUUUGUGGGGUGCUCGAGUGGCGAACGGGUGAGUAACACGUGAGUAACCUGCCCUUGACUUUGGGAUAACUUCAGGAAACUGGGGCUAAUACCGGAUAGGAGCUCCUGCUGCAUGGUGGGGGUUGGAAAGUUUCGGCGGUUGGGGAUGGACUCGCGGCUUAUCAGCUUGUUGGUGGGGUAGUGGCUUACCAAGGCUUUGACGGGUAGCCGGCCUGAGAGGGUGAACGGCCACAUUGGAACUGAGAAACGGUCCAA